AGCGAACGCUGGCGGCAGGCCUAACACAUGCAAGUCGAACGAACCUUUCGGGGUUAGUGGCGGACGGGUGAGUAACACGUGGGAACGUGCCUUUAGGUUCGGAAUAACUCAGGGAAACUUGUGCUAAUACCGAAUGUGCCCUGCGGGGGAAAGAUUUAUAGCCUUUAGAGCGGCCCGCGUCUGAUUAGCUAGUUGGUUGAGGUAAUGGCUCACCAAGGCGACGGUCAGUAGCUGGUCUGAGAGGAUGAUCAGCCACAUUGGGACUGAGACACGGCCCAAACUCCUACGGGAGGCAGCAGUGGGGAAUCUUGCGCAAUGGGCGAAAGCCUGACGCAGCCAUGCCGCGUGAAUGAUGAAGGUCUUAGGAUUGUAAAAUUCUUUCACCGGGGACGAUAAUGACGGUACCCGGAGAAGAAGCCCCGGCUAACUUCGUG
rnacentral:rRNA from 1 species